rnacentral:rRNA from 1 species
GACGAACGCUGGCGGCGUGCUUAACACAUGCAAGUCGAACGGAAAGGCCCUGCUUUUGUGGGGUGCUCGAGUGGCGAACGGGUGAGUAACACGUGAGUAACCUGCCCUUGACUUUGGGAUAACGUCAGGAAACUGGGGCUAAUACCGGAUAGGAGCUCCUGCUGCAUGGUGGGGGUUGGAAAGUUUCGGCGGUUGGGGAUGGACUCGCGGCUUAUCAGCUUGUUGGUGGGGUAGUGGCUUACCAAGGCUUUGACGGGUAGCCGGCCUGAGAGGGUGACCGGCCACAUUGGGACUGAGAUACGGCCCAGACUCCUACGGGAGGCAGCAGUGGGGAAUAUUGCACAAUGGGCGGAAGCCUGAUGCAGCAACGCCGCGUGCGGGAUGACGGCCUUCGGGUCGUAAACCGCUUUCGCCUGUGACGAAGCGUGAGUGACGGUAAUGGGUAAAGAAGCACCGGCUAACUACGUG